GACGAACGCUGGCGGCGUGCUUAACACAUGCAAGUCGAACGGAAAGGCCCUGCUUUUGUGGGGUGCUCGAGUGGCGAACGGGUGAGUAACACGUGAGUAACCUGCCCUUGACUUUGGGAUAACUUCAGGAAACUGGGGCUAAUACCGGAUAGGAGCUCCUGCUGCAUGGUGGGGGUUGGAAAGUUUCGGCGGUUGGGGAUGGACUCGCGGCUUAUCAGCUUGUUGGUGGGGUAGUGGCUUACCAAGGCUUUGACGGGUAGCCGGCCUGAGAGGGUGACCGGCCACAUUGGGACUGAGAUACGGCCCAGACGCCUACGGGAGGCAGCAGUGGGGAAUAUUGCACAAUGGGCGGAAGCCUGAUGCAGCAACGCCGCGUGCGGGAUGACGGCCUUCGGGUUGUAAAACGCUUUCGCCUGUGACGAAGCGUGAGUGACGGUAAUGGGUAAAGAAGCACCGGCUAACUACGUG
rnacentral:rRNA from 1 species